rnacentral:rRNA from 1 species
GGGUCAGUAGGUUGGUCGUGCCACCGGUACGUACUGGUCUCACUGAUUCCUCCUUCCUGAAGAACCGUAAUGCCAUUAAUUUGGUGUUGCGGGGAGACAGGACUGUUACUUUGAAAAAAUUAGAGUGUUUAAAGCAAGCUAACGCUUGAAUACAUUAGCAUGGAAUAAUGAAAUAGGACGAUCGAUCCUAUUUUGUUGGUUUCUAGGAUUGACAUA